AUUUCCUAUUACCCUAAUCCUCAUUGGUCCAUGUCACCACUCACUUAAAAAAUAAAAAAUAAUAAAAGAAAGCUGCGGAUGCCAAACCAUUAUAAAAAAACAAAGGAAAAAAAAAACCAGAAAAAGAAAAUGGAAAGGGAGGGCUCUUUCCAAAGACCCACUUUCAGUCAUCACUGUGAGUUAACCAGCAUUUUCCAAACAAGCCAUUAGAGAGAGAGAGAGGCAGAUCUUCGAAGGGUAUUGGAAUUUCUCGUUCUUACUGUGAUUCUGCGAAUCACAAUCUGCGCUGAAUUCUUCAAGCCUUUCAACGUGAGCUACGAUCACAGAGCUUUGAUCAUCGACGGCAAGCGGCGCAUGCUUAUCUCCUCUGGCAUCCAUUACCCUCGAGCGACACCUGGUGAUAGCUUGAUGAUUGAGUAUCGAAAUUUUCUCAUUGUUCUUUGUAAUUUAGUAGCUAUUUGACUUGGCCUGCGGAGUUGCGCACUCCUUUGAAGUUUGCCCUGGAUGGUGGGCCAGGCCUCUGGUGAACAAGGAUGGUUGGAUUGGCCCCUGUAUCAUCCUGAUCGGAUGAUCCUAGCCAUCCUAUCAAGAGUAUGUGUAAUGGAGGUUAGUCUUUGCUCUUGUUGAUGGACUCUGCCUUGACAUAUGAGGAUUGUUGGAUAGGUGGGGCCUCCCAUUGAUUGCCCUUCCCCACCUGUUAUCUUGAUCAGAAGAUCCUAGCCAUAUGAUCAAGAGCCUGCAAAGUGGUUAUGAUUGAUAGGAAACAUGACCAGUUUGGUUAUUGUAAGCAGAGGCUAAAACACCUCAGUUCUGCUGGGCCCAAUGACUUGUAGAUGUGGCAGCCACUCAGUCCAUCUAGUAUCAUUGUACAUCUUAAAAAUCAACUCCUCCAAAGCCUCAAACAUAAACUUAUGAUGGACGUCUCCCUCAUUGUUCUCAGUGGUGUGGCCCACAAUUUUUAUGCUACAGAUGCCGCACACAAGUGUCAAUGUAGGUCACGCAGCAGCAUGCCAACCUUGGAUGUUGGGCCAAAAGGGCUGGGUUACUCGGAGAAUCCAUUGUGCAUUUUUGGAAUGACUAAUGACUAGUGUUGUUUAUGGGUCUGGAGAUUUUUCCUUUUGUCUCCUGUUUCUUUUUUCCAAAUUUUGUUGUUCAGUUUUCAAAAUUCUACAUCAGUCCUGCUGGUUUCCAUCUUCCUUGCUAGAUCGAGAAAGACCAUUGCAACGUGCAAGAGCUUCAAGAAAAAAGAUAUGUGCUUUGUUCUCACAUCAAUACUACCAUUUCAUUUAGCUAUUUGUUUUUUUAUUGGCGUCAAUGCUGCCAUUUCAUUCACAUAUUGCUUAGAGCUUUUUUAUGUCAAGUUGAUUUAUAGCAUGGUUAACCUAUGUUUGAAAAAUCAAAAUCAACGGGGAAUUCUACUAGGUAGAUUCAAUAGAAUUCAAUUUAAAAAAAUUAAAAAUUAAAAAUAGGACAAGUUGGAUUUUUUUUAGUAAUUGCAUAAAUGCACUGAUUUUGUUACUCUCAAUUCUCAUAUCUCAGUUGAAUUAAUUAACUCAGUUGUGGAGGACCUCUUACAUGUUAGGAUGCAACUAAAGGUUGUUUAGGUGGACCAACUAUGUAUGUUAUUCAGUAAUCUGGUUGUCUGUCCAAACAUUAUUUAGUACUUUGUAUUUGUAUGGUAGGCAAGGUUGGUGCACCCAAAUAAAAAUCCUAGAGAUCCAAAGGCAACAUGGGAACUAGAGCUAUACACGAAUUGAACCAAGUUAAGCUUGGCUCGGCUAGCCUGCUGUGAACCAAGUGAAGCUUGGCUCAGCUUGGCUCAGCUUAGCCAGCAGGCUACCCUAUCAUUUUGUACAAUACUAAUAUUAAUUUUGGCUUUUGGGGUUGGCUUCUCUGUGCGUCGAUACUGAUAUUUUAUAUUCUCAGCACACAACUUUUGAAUUUCAUGUUUGUCAGGAGAAAGGUAUUAAGGAUAAGGAAAGAUUUAUGUAUGAGAUGGAGGAGUACAAGGAGAGAUUGAAGACACACCCGAUUAUCAGAAAUGUUGUGCUAAUCUAGUAGCGGCCAGCAGUGCCGGUAGCAGCAGUUCCGAAGAAACAUCCUAUCCUAAAUUGUCUGAUUGGUGCAUCAGGCUACAUGACUGAAUCUCAAGGCUGAUUGCUUUUCUUUGCAUUGGCUGAAUUCUUAAGCGAUGAUCAUUCUCUUUACAUGAACAUUAUGUCUUGUUUGACUCACUUCUUUACAUGUUUGUUUUCUUAUACUUGCAGAUGGAGAUUUUGUCAGUAACCGUUCAAGAUGGGUUCCAAUGCUACUUAGUUGAAAUGAUGUGUGGACAAAGCAGCUGGAGAUAGUUAGCCGUAUUGACCAAGCUAGUAGUAGACCACCUGGAGCAAUUUUUUUCUAAUGUAUUUGGAUAAGUUUCAACUUAUCAUAUUUCUAAGUGAAAUCACUCCACACUUACACAACCAUAUCAUAUCCGCAAGUGCAACCUCAUCAUAUAGUUUAUCAAUUGUAUCACAUUCUCAAGUGGAUCCACCACACCAUACUGUCACAAAAUCAUAUCAUAUCCUCAAGUGCAACCUUAUCACACGGUCCAUAAAGUGUUUCACAUUGUUAAGUGGAACUACAUCACACUAUUACACACCCAUAUCAUAUGCAUCCUCAAGUGCAACCUCAUCAUAUAGUCCAUCAACUGUUUCAUAUUCUCAAUUGGAAUCACAUCACACUAUCGUCUCAACCAUGUCAUGCGCUCAAGUGCAACCUAAUCACAUAGUCCAUCAACUAUAUCAUAUCCUCAAGUGUAACCACAUCACAUUAUCAUACAACCAUAUCUUUAUCAUGUUGUGGGUUGUUAAGCCUACUAUCAGUAUAUGUUUGCAGAUUUUUAUUGAUCUUUUGUACUUGACGACAUUAGGUUAUAGAAUCUGUCUAUGAUAAAUCACUAGAACUAGUACAUAUCAAUGCCCAUGCAAGCAUCAUCUCUUAGAAUUGUUCUUUGUUGCAUGUUUGUGGUCGGAGGAAGAAUGUAAGGAUCCACAUUAUAGAACGAAAGAAGGCCAUCUUAAAAGGCCCACUGUGGAUUGGAAUGGCUGUUAUUUCUUCCCUCUCCAGAUGCUCUCUUAGGCAUAGGCACAACUACAUAUUGUCAGGUGAACACAGCCAGAAGAGGGAUCUAGACGCUACCAUGUUUGA